GUGUCAGCCGCCGCGGUAAUACGUAGGUUGCAAGCGUUGUUCGGAUUUACUGGGCGUAAAGGAUGUGUAGGCGGUUGUUUAAGUGUGACGUGAAAUCCCUGGGCUUAACUUGGGGGUGGCAUUGCAAACUGGACGACUAGAGUGCAGCAGAGGAAAGUAGAAUUCCUAGUGUAGCGGUGAAAUGCGUAGAGAUCAGGAAGAAUAUCCGUGGCGAAGGCGACUGCCUGGGC
rnacentral:rRNA from 1 species